UCUGAUUCUGGGGCUUAUUCCUUAUCGAUUGUAGAUUCGGAAUCCUUGCACAUGAGCGGAGGACCCUCACCAGAAAGACGUAUUUCUAAUACUGAUUACGUCCUCUGUCCUAGAUGCUACACGUAUGAUUCUCCUGUGAUUACCUACCGUAUCGGAUGGUUCGCAAUUUCUUUCGUUGGAUUGCUGUCACUUGCAGGGUGUAUUCUAGGGUGCUGCUUGUGUCCCCUCGUACUGAAGAGCUGCAAGGAUGAAGUUCACUGCUGUUCUAACUGUAAUAUGCGCCUUGUUGUAACCUAACAGUAAAUGUCAACCGUAUGUUUUACUUGGUGCAUGUGGUGUAACCUGCCUGAUUCACAAUAAAGAAAGUCAUGUAUACAUGA